UCUCAGCAGCCGGAUUUCUUGCACACUUCUGCUACUUUCCAAUCCAUCCUCAAAUCUCUCUCCAUUGUCCACCAAUUUAGAAAUGCUCUUAAAGCACGUCAAAGCCCUCCAUAUCCACCUUGACCCUUGCGUUUAUCAGUCACUUAUAUGCUCCCACCUUGCAGGCAGGAAAAUCCAUAUUGCUUUCUCGAUUUUCCAACAACUCCUCCAUUCUGCAGCUUCCAAAAUCCAAUCUGAAACCUGCAAUUCACUGGGAACCUAAAGGAUGCCCGUAAGGUGUUGGAUGAAAUGCUUCACAGAGGCAUCGCUUUGACUACAGUUGGUUUCGGUGUAUUCGUAAGCCCACUUAUACCCUCUCCUCUAAAAAGAAGUUGUCAAUCCCUUCUCUCUCCUUCUCCGAUCAACUGCAAAGCUAAUGUUCCCCCGAUUCUCCCUUAAAUUUUAGAAAAUUUUUGGGCUCUCUAGGACUGCAAAAUCUGUGGCUCUUUUAUUUGCCCACAGAUUUGCUUGUAGUUGCCGAAAAGCCCUACAUUCAAUAGAUCGAUAUAAUUUCACAGUUUUCUGUAUAUAUCUCUUGGUUUUUUAGGAAUUUUAGUUUCAGAGAAUCAACGACCGUCGCAGCAGCCCUGGAUUAGAGAUUUAAAAUGCUCGGUUUGCCUAGCGUUCAGGAGCCAGGGAAGCUUUGAUUUGGAUGCCCAGAGUUAGACAGCCUAAUUACACCUCUGUAAAUGUACGUAAUGUUGGACAGCCUGGGGUGCCAAGACAGCCACCUAACUCACAACCAAAUCCAUUUGGGAUCCUUUUUGGCAGGAUUGUCCUUCGCUUAUCAGCUUUUGUAUCUACUAGAUGCUAUUGGGUUCUACUCUUUGAGAUUACACGUUCUUGGAAUUCAUCUUUGUUGAGGUAAAGCCAGGAGCUGGUACUUAUUCUAGGCCUUUCCACAAUAUGCUGAUAUUCGACUACGUGAAGGCACAACACCAACAGUAAUUUUUACAAGUGGCUAUAAAACGUAUUGCAUUGGCAUGAAACAAAGAUCCUUCGACAAGAAUUAGGCCACUUUUGCAGCCGAACAUGUUUUUUGCCUUGGAGACAUAUUGCUUUUUAUUCCACAAUCGCUCAUCUCUUUUGGUGUUAUCAUAUUCAACAAAAAAGGCAUUGAAAAACUAUAUUCAUGGCAUUUUAAUUUCACUAUUCAUCUAAUUUAGUCCAUAUUACUUAGUACUGCGAUUGUCUUUGAGAACAAAUUGUAGUUGAUAAGUGCUAGAACUAAACUCUUAUGUCACUUCUCAUUAUGUAUCUUGCUCGAUUCAUUAAGGAGCUUUCUUUA